ensembl:lncRNA
GCAACUUCUAACAGCCCCCCCCAUCCCCGGCAUUUGCUCCCUCUUUGGGUCUAAAAUUCUCUGAAUUUGCUGGUCAUCAGAAUAUACGGGAAACCUUCCUUGUGAGUAAACCUAACCAAUAAGGAAUUUGCUAGAGGGGGCAAUAAUUUUUUAUUUAUUCCAAGAUGAGGCAACAGCUUGGAAAGCAUUCAGUAGAACGUUCGGAUGUCACUCCCCAGAACACUGGUGUGCUGGCCUGCAGAUGUGAGCAAGCUUUAAAAAGGAGAGUGACUCAUGAAACAUCGCUUCGAGGGAAAAGACCCACAUACGACCAGUACGAGCACUUUAAACUAAGCAUCUAAGACAGCAGAAGAAAAAAUCAGAAGGAAACAAUGGAGAAGUAUAAAGAGAGACCACACACCUAACUCCUUCGACAGCUCUGGUACCGUCCCAGAGGUCACUGGAUGUGAUUUUACUUCUGCAAUAUCCCACGUUCCUGCAUUCUAAAGAAGGAAACCAACAGUAACCCAAAGUGUGAUGUCAUGUUGAGAGCUGGCAACUGCAGUUUCAGCCUGACACUCCCAAUCCUUUUACAGCCUUUCCAUGUUCUCAUCAUCCCAAGCCUGCAGCUACUUUUAUUGCUGGAGAAGAAUCAAGCAAAGGAGAAAUGAUCUCCUAGGGACAGAAUCCAGCCAAGUUGCUAUUUGCACCUUCUUAGCCCUUCCAAUUGCAUAUCAUACCAGCACAGCAUUUCUCUGGACUUAAUUCCUCACUCAUCUGGACUGAUUUGCCUUUCGUGAGCAACAGAAUGUUGUCAUACAUCAGGAUGCUGUCAUACAUCAGGUUGGAGUUUGGCCUUCCGAAGGCAGGAGAGUGAAAAAUGGUACUAAUGUCCUUCCCACACCAACCCUGUAUUCUGCAAAAGAAAGGACUCCAGCAAAGAAAGCAACUAAUGUAACGGCAACCUAAGACCACGUUCUGAAUCAUCAGAGUCCUGGACUACUGCUACUGAAGCAAACCUUCAACAGGAUGAAAACCGAGUAGGAAGGCUCCGUGUCCCUCAGCAUCCUGUGGAAGAUGCAGCUUUCAGCCCACAUCAGCCACUCUGAUCAGGGUGUGUAUGAUCACCAUACUCCUUGCUGGCCACCAUUUGCUCUGGGAAAAUAUGUAUAGAAGCAUAGAGUGGAUCCUGGGAUAAGCAAACAGGAGCCAGCCAGCAGCAAUUACCAAACCCCAGCACCUUCCAGGAUAGUUACUAAAUCAUUCUCAUCCAAGACAGCUAUGUGAAAAUAAUUGUGCCGUCGUGUUCCAUUGCAAUGAAGAGUACCACCUAAUCUGAGAAGGUAGGAGAAAAGAUCUGCCUGCACAUCUCUGGAGCUGAAGGCUUCAGUUCUGGUGCUGUUAAGCCACUCCUAUAAGAUGUAAAAAGUCUCUCCAGUUCACGACAUUUCUGCAAAGUGGGAAUCAUAGAAUCAUAGAAUGGCCUGGGUUGAAAUGGACUUCAAUAAUCAUUGAGUUUCAACCCCCCUGCUAUGUGCAGGGUCACCAACCCCCAGACCAGGCUGCCCAGAGCCACAUCCAGCCUGGAAGCUUCCUCUUGGGAUGUAUCAGGCGAUAUGUAUUUUUAUAUGUCACCUAAAGAAGAUGACUGCACUACAUCUUUGCAAAAGCUCUUCUUUUGGACUGACCUAUUUGAAGAAUAACUCAAAAAAAACCUCUGAAGAGACACAAUCCCCCAAGUCCAAUGGCCAUCCAGUUCUAUUGGAUGUCUUCUGGCAAACUGCGUUAACAAUUUCCUCAGACUCCUUAUUGGGGGAAAACUUGUGUUGAAAAGGUUUAAAGCCUGAAGCAUCAUUUCUAGAGGUUUUCUGUGUGUGUCAAUACUGAGUAUGUCACUUGGUAUGCAUGAUGACUAAUGAGAUCACAUUCAAAAUGUGCUUGUAUGACUGUGUUAAGACCAAUGCUCACAUUUGAACAAAUGUUGCUCAACAUACUUACUUCACAUGAGCUAUGAAAGAAGUCCAGACUCGCCUUGAAGUGCACUGCUUGCUCCGAGGCUUGCAGUCAUUCCAUUGCAAACACUAUAUGCAAAGUUAAUGGGUAGAACAAUGAAAUAAAGCUCCCUGCCACCAGCACUGAUACUGGGAGAGACUGACACAGCCCUAUACCUUUGUAUGCUGGUGACUGGGCCUUGGGAAGGUAUGGGGGUGACUGGGAGAGCUGGGGGGCACAGGCUGGGAAGGAGCCCUGCAGAUAGCAGAGCUGCAGCCUCCAACAAAGGCACCCUGGGCUGGUGUUGGCCCCAUUGACUCUGGGACGUCAGGAAAUCAGCCCUGUAUUGGAGGGACCCACAGCUCUGUAUGCAGAGCAGAGCUGCCCUGCAGAGGCAGUCUCACAGCCCACCCACAGGGCAGCCGCUGGGAAUCACUGGCAGACACGCAUUCCCAAACUGAAAAAAUAAUUAACCACCUAGUUUCUUUUAAUUAAGACCUUGACUUAUCCACCACUCCAGGAUAUGCGGAUGUUUGGCUGCUGGGAUGCAUCAACACACCUGAGCACUGGAGGCGAUUCCUCUUUGGCUUCAUACCUCAGCACACAGCAGAGCAGGGCUCCCACCCUGCUAUACCUGUGCUCCCCAGUUUAUGCCAUUGGCCACGUCUCUCACUAUUUUGUUACUCAUAAUCUCACAGAUGUUGUCUUGGUAGGAAUUUUCAGAUGCAAAUGUCGGUAUCUUAAAAGUGUUCUGCACUUCUGGCAUUCUCGCAUCAGCCGAGUGCCAAAGUAGCACACAGUGUUUUACACUUACGUAAGGAGAUAAAGCUUUUGCCUCGAGGAUAUGGUGUUCCUAAGGCAGAGAUAACAUGCUGGGAAAUGACAAGGAGCUGUGGAGAAGAGGGGUGGGGAGAAGAAAACAAAAGAGAGAAAUAGAGAAGAGAAAAGGCAAGGUACUGUCGCGGGAGGACAAACUGGAUUUUUCAUUUCUGUGUGAGAUGUUUUCCCCAGGUUAUCUGCCUUAACUUAUUUUUCUUGAUCAUCCUCCACCUCCUUAGCAGCAUAUUUUGCCUCCUCUGCACUCACACCACAACUGGUGGGUCUCACAUGAGUGAGGUGCGACCUCUGAAGUCUGGCCCUUAAAGUGUAGGACUCAGCUCAGUGCAGCAGAAGAUGAGGUUAGUGGUAGAAACUGCCUCCUCCUCUUCUGAUUUGGUUUCUGUUAUUCAGACCUGCAAGGUACAGCAUCUCUGAGCAGGAAAUAGCUAUUUGAGUCAUUGUCUUCUGCUUGAACUAACAGCCCAGCAUCUGUCCUGUGGGUGUCCAUCCCUUCUUCCCCCCACUGCUCCCAGUGGCUCUGCAAAAUGUUGGUUCAUUCUAAAGUCAAAUUAUGUAGUAUCAAUGAUUAUAAAACUAUGAUUGUAAAACAAUGAUUAUAAAACUAUUAAUAAAUUAUUACUGAAAUUCCUCUCCAUCCCUUAACACAGACAGGUCCAUCCAUCUGGGACUGUUUAUUCUGGAGAAG